UACGGGGGGGGCUAGCGUUGCUCGGAAUCACGUGGGCGUAAAGCGCACGUAGGCGGAUUUUAAGUCAGGGGUGAAAUCCUGGAGCUCAACUCCAGAACUGCCUUUGAUAACUGGGAAUCUCGAGUCCGGGAGAGGUGAGUGGAACUGCGAGUGUAGAGGUGAAAUUCGUAGAUAUUCGCAAGAACACCAGUGGCGAAGGCGGACUCACUGGCCCGGUACUGACGCUGAGGUGCGAAAG
rnacentral:rRNA from 1 species